UAAGUUGAGCUGAAUGUCUGAGAGGUCAUUGCUGUGGUUGGCAGGCACUCUGGGUCAUCGAUGCUUAGAGACACAAGAGAAACAUUCUGCAGUUCCAUUGGGCUGUGGCACAUCAGAGAUUGCACAUUUUUAACUAUUGCUCUGCUCUUUUGGAGCCAUUCUCGGAAACCGAGAAUUUGGCAAUCGCAUUUCCAAGGGUUGUCGUCAAGGACAACUUCUUCCAGCUCAGGGCAAGGAUGAAGCUCUCCCAUAGCAAUCCCACAGACAGAGUGUUGGGAACAACCCCCUUCACUUAAAGAGAAACCAGGAAGGACAGCAGAGCUCCUCAGGCAUCUGAACUGCUGACAAGAACACACCACAAUGGACCCAAAACAGCUCCAGGUCCAAACCAGCUACUGCAUUAAAAAAAAAGCCAGAAGAGCAAAAGGGAGUGCUUUAAAAAAAAAAUAAAUAAAUUAUUCAGCUUCAGAGUACUGAAGUCUGGUAAAAUCUCUAACUCUCCCUCAGGAAGGGAAGGACGUGGCAUUUAGGGCUAUCAACAGCCAGCAACACAGUGCCACAAAACAAGAUCUCAGUGGGCUUUUCACAACUCAUUGAAUGAGACAUAGGCAGCACCAAAAAAUAGCAUAAGAUUUCACUCUUCCAAAGAUCUUUCACAUGUCAAGCAAGAAUCUUUCAGAGAAUCUCACCCUCCUAGUAAUCCUCCCUACUCCAAAACUCUGUGUCAUAAGCCAGUGAUGCUUUUACCUUAAUAAAUGUGUAACUCAGCCUGUCCCUGAUCCUACCUAUCCCCACGAGCAGAACCCUCCAUCCAGAAACACAUUAAGAAAAUUUCUGUUUCAAGCCCUGACUUGAACCAAAUGGAUGGAAAAAUACCCAAUUUGUUAUGUUAGAAACUGCAAAUGCAGGUCCCUUGGAAGCUAUGACUACAGGCCACGCUGUAAAAUCAGAAACAGACUAACACUAUCCUGCAGGUCCAUGAUGACUGUUUUCCUGGUCUUACAGCAAAAGAUAAGAGUAUACAAGAAGACAAGGUUAGAUGCUCAGAAAUGCUAGAAAGCACUAGUUUUGACAAACAAACAGCAAAAUGGUAGACAUUCUUUGCAAGAUAUGAAGGCUGUAAGUGCUGCCACAAGAACUGGAAAAGCCUAUGGGUCUCAAACAUCUAGAGCUGCUAACAGCAUUAAAAAAAAAUUAAAGAGAUUAACAGUACAAAAUACAGUAAUACCCACAAUAAAGAUCAAAAUUAUACAUUCCCAUGCCUUAAAAUUCUCUCAAACCCUCACACAAGACAGCUGGCAUUCCAGAAAAGGCACCAGCCUAGCUGGUCAUUUACCAAUAAAUGUUUUAUCUACAGCCUCUUUCCUUUUUAGCUCCCCCCCAAUAUUUCUCAAGACUACAAAAGGAUGCCAGAGGCAAUACAUUAAUACUGUAACUAUAUCAGAAGUCUCAAAUCAGUUUUGAACUUACAGAACACUGAGCACAUGUAUUGCUUGCAGUGGUGCUUACCUCUUUUACUGUCUUGCAAGUUCCUAAACUCAUACAAGCAAGAAAAAGAAAUUUUGAGCUGUACCUUAGAAACUUAUCUGCUUUUUAAAGCAACUUACUAGGAGCAGAGCAGGCAAUCAGGCUUCACCAUGACAGUGCACUUUAAAUGGGAAGUAAAAGAGCAGAACGCAUCCUCUAGAUAACACUUCCACCCACAUGUGCCUGGUUACUGAGACAGGCCAGAGGCCAAACAAUGUUUGAAGCUUCAGAGCAGAUUUUUGCCUACAAUUGUUCAAGCAACCAACUUCCAUAGGUUGCAUGUAACUCCAAAAGUAGGGCUUGAAGCCGCUCACAUAACAGGAGAAAGUUUUAAGUCACACACCCAACAGCAGAAAACCCACUUGUAGCUUCUUUGGCAGUGAUAUUGGAGAAUGUGCUUCAGCCAACCCAAAGCAAAUCUGAUUGCAGUCAGAAUCUACAUUUCAGUGUGAGAUGUGAUCAGAAAUUUCAAAUUUGUCCCAGGUCUGCUAAAUAGGUUUUGAAGGAGUGGACACAUCCACUUUAAACCAAGUGCUCCUACCUUCACAAAGCUGCUCUGACUUUUAAUAAUUCUUGCAGGAUUGGAGUCAAAGCAAUUUCAGUAAGGAAUGAAGGGGCUUUUUACUUAGUGCUUUGGCUAAGCAUUCCAAGGUUGACACAUUUAGUUUCUGUUUUUCCUCAAAGUCUUCUGGAGUGGCAGGCCAACAAAACCUAAAACCUGUAAGAUUCUGAAAGAGAAAAGCUAAGUUGUAAAAAUAGAAGCUUGAAAUGGAAAGAUUAAGUUUUUUGUUAUUAAGUAAAACGGUAUUUUAAGUAUCUUGUCUUCAAGUUUCAAAUAAUGUGCUCUGCCAAUGACUGUUUCAAUGGAAGGUGAGCCAGAGGACAGAAAAGAUGUCUUCAUUUCCACAUGAUUUUUCUGAAGAUGACUCUGACAAUGGUGACAGCUCAGAUCAUGCCUCCCACAUGUCCAAACAGAAGGAACAUCUGAAUAACCAAAGGUGGAAACAAGCUGCUAUCACAUGUACAGGUAAAGCUGCAGUCAGUGUGAUCCCCCUGCAGACACAGCAGGCACCCCUCCCACCCCACCUGCAGAAAUGCAGAGCCACGGAACAGCAUCCCAUGACAGCAGAGGGAGUAAGCCUGUGUUCUUCAACAAGCUUUACAAGUAAUUCUAUAAAGAAUAAUUAAAACAAUUUCAUUAAACUAAUGAGAAGAGUUAAAAUAUCCGUUCAUUUUAAUUUUAUUUUCAAAGAGCUUCAGUCACAAAAAUGAUUUACAAGUCUAUUUACAAUUCUAUUGUACAGUUAUUUAUGUAUGCCUCUUGACAACAGGGUACCAUUCUAGAGCAGCAAUACAUAUUUUAAAUACAAAGAUGUAGUAUCAUUUCAGAUUUAAAAAUAAAAGGAAGCUGAGCUUCUAGAGAGUGCUGUAAUGAUGAACAUUUUAAUCUGUGUUAGGCUCGAGGAAUUAAUGACAAACUAAGUAGUUUCUGGUUCACAUAAUUAUUAAACAAGCUGCAGUUUGUUGAAAAUAGUUUUAAAAACCUGAAGCUUUACUGUAUAUAAAAUCAACAUAUUCAAGACUCUAAAAAUUGUCAAAAACCCACAGCUUUCCCUUAGACAUACAAAACCCUAAGUUUACAAUUCAGAAUUUCAUGGGAGAAAUCCUACAGGACUUGAGCUCUCUCAUUUUGUGAUGACCAACAUAAGCAUUAAAAAUUUGCAGCAUAAAAAGGACUCCACAUCUGCUUAGUAUUAUACUGCAUAUACACAUAUACAGUACAGGAUUAUUUACCCAAUUUGGGAUGACUGUUCAGCACAACCUUCAUGAAGAAAGAAAAAAAUAAAUAGAAUUAAAAAUCCAACAACUUUUUAAAAAGUGCAACAGUAAGAGUUUCCAAUUUAAAGUUAUGAUGAAUAUGGACAGUCAGUUCUGUGGGUUUUUUCAGCCGCUUCUAUUCAAGCAUUAUUUGCAGCAUUUUCUUUUUACAGUAGAUUUAGUUCUAUAGUACAUUAAACUACAGUUACUACUAAUUGACUCUGAAGGGAAAGGAAGGAAAAAACUUUAAAAAUAACCCUGAGGGAUAUACAAUUUCAUGAUCUUGUAAUUUAUUUCUAAAAAGUAACAUUUAUUAUUUAGCAACUGCUUUUCUGGAUAGACCAGUCCUUUAAGUAUGUGCAUAAAUAAUAUUUAAAAAUCAGUAAUAUUUACAAAUCCUAAUACAUCAAAAUAAAAUACGUACAGAUUGAAGUCUGCAUACACAAAUAAUUUAAUAAUAAAUCAAACUCCUCAACAUAAGGCCAAAAUAUACAGCAGGAAGGAAAUGUCUACCCAGUAUCUAGUGGAGCUCACUAACUUGGUCUGUUCACCUGAAUUUAGAUUUCCAAGAUGAACACUGAAAGAGAUUUUUUUUCACUACAAAAUGAAUUUCAUCUUACUUAAAAACAGAAACUGAAUACACUAGUGAAGAUCUAGUUUGCUGCAUUUCUGAAAACCAGAAAAACUAAACUACUCAAAAUGAGAAAAAUUAUAGGUGGUCAAAUUCAGCUCUUGGGCAGGAAGGCAUAAAUCCCAAUAAUUGCAGAAAAUGCAAAAGCUUAUUUUGUGGCUGAACUUGCAAUAACAAGAUGGAUUCUCAGAAAAGCUGAUUUAUUAUUCUUGACUAAGCGUCAGAGCUCAAGCAUGCAACCUCAGGAACAUUUACCAACCCUGAGCGCAGACCUGGAGGAAACAAGCUCCAUUUGCAAAACAUUCAAGUUUGCUACGCUCAUGAGCCAUUAGUCACUCGGCUAAGUGGAGACACUUGGCAAUUUCUGUCUCAGUAAGAGCUCCCUAAAAUGUUCUCUGAAGACAAGCCCACCUUAAUGAGCCAUUUUCCUCCUCACUUUCCAGGUAAGUCUAACAAACUAGAAUAAGACUGAAAAACCAGCUUCAGAAACCAAACAAGCCAAGAGAAAUUAUCAGUCUAGGAAAGUAUUAAGCAAAAGCAUAUAAAAGGGAAAGACAUAAAUAUUUCCUUUCAGUUCUCAUGAAACAGCAAAUCUAAAAUGGUCAAUGAAAUGGAAAGCAGAAGCUUAUGCGUUUAAGGAUAAGUCACAGCUCCCAGGUCCAAGAUGCAUAGCUUCACAAUAUUUUUCAACUAAAAUAUUAUUUUCGUUUAGAUUUGAAUACUACUUACGCAGCUAAGAAUUAUUCUUCAUCAGUUAUUCCAUGCUACAAAGAUUUUGUAAAAUCAACAUCGGCAGAAAUUAGCCACCUGACUCAGGUUCAUGACUAAUUAAUGUAUCCAAUGUUUGCAGACCCUUUAAAAGCCACCAAUGUUGUUCAAUGUUUAUGACCUUAUGAAGCCAGGAUUAGAAGAACAUUGCUCUGUUGAAUGAAUGCUAAGAAAACCACUUCCCCCUUUCCCCCUGCUCCACUCCUCAAAAACAAACAACAACAACAACAGAAAUCAGGAAAAGAGUUGACAGCUGGACUGGAAGAUAGUACACCCAUAUGCAUAUUAUUUAGGAGGAGCAAUAACUUCAACAACCAAGUUCUAGGAAAAGGUCUUCCAAACCAUUUAGCACCACUUUUAAAUUCCCAGUUGGCACAGUAUAUUCAACACUGCAGAAACCACAACAUGAUUGACAUUAACACGGUUAAUGGUUGAUGAUUUUGAAGGUCUUUUCCAACCUUAAUGAUUCUAUGAGCAGCAGGGCACACUGUCCAUACUGUCUUACAGAACAGCACAAGGGAAUUAGGCCUGAUCUGAAAAAUCCUGCUUAUUAAAACAAGGCUGGAAUGGAAUUGUCUCCACAGGAAUUUAAAAGAACAAAACAAAACCCGAAAAAAGAAAAAGAAAAAAAAAAGGAAAAAGAGAAAGAAAAAAAUCCCUAACAUCAAAACCUCAAAUUCCAUCAUCAGAAUAUACACACUUCAAAACAAUCCCAGCCGGCCAGUGAGCCUCAUUCCACAACUACUCCAAAGGAUCUCUCCAGAAUCCUGACUUCCUCAGACCAGAGGUCUCCUCCCAAGCUUGGAGGUGUCUGGACCAGUUAGUUGCCCCAGUCAAAAAUAGACUGAUCAAGACUCAAUUUAUCAUCUUCCCAAAGACACUAAGGAAGACUUUUCCAAACAUGUACAAAGUCAACAAUGGUUUAGAGAUAAGUAAUUUGUAGUUAAAAAAAAAAAAACAAAAAAAAAACCCAAAAAAAGUUUUAAGCCUUGCAAGUCAAAGUGCUGUCUGCCUCUACUUCUUUGUAGACCUAUUUUUCUAGUGGUCUUGUGUUCUGAUACUGCCUCAUGGCAAAAUUAUGUAUGGCUACCCCUAGUGCUUAAGCAGCAUUAGUGGUGAUACAUGCUUUUAUUUUUUUCAUAUUUUUUUUU